rnacentral:rRNA from 1 species
GAAACCGAGUCUUAAUUGGGCGUUAAGUUGCAGGGUAUAGACCCGAAACCCGGUGAUCUAGCCAUGGGCAGGUUGAAGGUUGGGUAACACUAACUGGAGGACCGAACCGACUAAUGUUGAAAAAUUAGCGGAUGACCUGUGGCUGGGGGUGAAAGGCCAAUCAAACCGGGAGAUAGCUGGUUCUCCCCGAAAGCUAUUUAGGUAGCGCCUCGUGAAUUCAUCUCCGGGGGUAGAGCACUGUUUCGGCUAGGGGGCCAUCCCGGCUUACCAACCCGAUGCAAACUGCGAAUACCGGAGAAUGUUAUCACGGGAGACACACGGCGGGUGCUAACGUCCGUCGUGAAGAGGGAAACAACCCAGACCGCCAGCUAAGGUCCCAAAGUCAUGGUUAAGUGGGAAACGAUGUGGGAAGGCCCAGACAGCCAGGAUGUUGGCUUAGAAGCAGCCAUCAUUUAAAGAAAGCGUAAUAGCUCACUGGUCGAGUCGGCCUGCGCGGAAGAUGUAACGGGGCUAAACCAUGCACCGAAGCUGCGGCAGCGACGCUGAUGCGUUGUUGGGUAGGGGAGCGUUCUGUAAGCCUGUGAAGGUGUGUCGUGAGGC